GACGAACGCUGACGGCGUGCUUAACACAUGCAAGUCGAGCGGUAAGGCCCUUUCGGGGGUACACGAGCGGCGAACGGGUGAGUAACACGUGGGUGACCUGCCCUCAGCUCUGGGAUAAGCCUGGGAAACCGGGUCUAAUACCGGAUAUGACUCCAUGACGCAUGUUGUGGGGUGGAAAGCCUUGUGCGGCUGAGGAUGGGCCCGCGGCCUAUCAGCUUGUUGGUGGGGUGAUGGCCUACCAAGGCGACGACGGGUAGCCGGCCUGAGAGGGCGACCGGCCACACUGGGACUGAGACACGGCCCAGACUCCUACGGGAGGCAGCAGUGGGGAAUCUUGCGCAAUGGGCGAAAGCCUGACGCAGCGACG
rnacentral:rRNA from 1 species